rnacentral:misc_RNA from 1 species
ACAGCCUUUAGAUGCAAAAUCACUAGAAUUCUUGCUGCAAAGGUUGCAAACAUGUCAACUUCAGCUUUGAAGCUUAUUUGUUUAAGUAUUCAUCUAUUGCAGCAGCAAAUUUAUUUCUAUAAAAUGGUGCUAUCAAAUUUUCAGCCAGAGUUUGUUAACUGUUUGCCUUGAAGACUACCGGGCAGUUUGUGCUAGAACUAGUGAAUUCCGGAAGAUUGCAGAAGCAGGUGCCUCUGAUCACUCCCUGUCCGUAGGAAUAAAGGGCACAGAAAAGUUAUGUGUGGCAUUGGAAGCACAACAGAAGCCAGUGCUACAGGGAUGCAUAAAAGUUAUAUAUCAACGAGGAAUUAAGCCGGGAAAGGCUGGCAACUCUGCUGCAACAGAAGUAAUAACCUUUGCAGAGGCCCCCAGCAUCUCCAACAAAUCAAGUCCUCUGCAUGAGAGUUUACUUCGGAGAUACGGUGUCAAAUUGGCAUCUAAAAGCUCUGUAAGCCAAAUGAACCCUGCUUCUUGACAGUGAACAGAACUUACUAAAUUUUGGAAGCUUAAUUGCUAACUGAAUUGUUUUAAAGGAUGUAUGGAUGGGAACCCAAUUGCUCUUUGUA